GGGGGGCACAAAAAGAGAAAAAGCAGAGACAAUGUGAUCAAAGCAAGAGACAAGAUGGAGUGUCAUACCUGCGUUCCAGAAUUUGCCAUCAGUUUAUGUUACAGUUACUCUACCUGUGAGAAGCCUCUGGGACACUGGAGUUUAAAUCCCAGCCCCCUACUUACUCUGGACAGCAUCUUGCACUCUAAAAGGAGUUUCUCACUGAUAAGAUGAAAAUGGCACUUCUGCAACCAGGAAGUGAUGCAGAGAUUAACCAAGCCAGUGUGCCUAAUGUACGACACAGUCUUCAGACUCAGAAAGAGGCAUUAUAUUUACACAAAAUGUUGUCUGAUCUCUGUAACUGAAAGUGACAGUUUGGCCGGGUGCGGUGGCUCAUGCCUGUAAUCCCAGCACUUUGGGAGGCCGAGGCGGGCGGAUCAUGAGGUCAGGAGAUCAAGACCAUCCUGGCUAACAUGGUGAGACCCCGUCUUUACUAAAAAUACAAAAAACUUAGUCAGGCGUGGUGGCGGGUGCCUGAAGUCCCAGCUACUCGGGAGGCUGAGGCAGGAGAAUAGUGUGAACCUGGGAGGUGGAGCUUGCAGUGAGCUGAGAUUGGGCCAAUGCACUCCAGCCUGGGCGACAAAGUGAGAGUCCAUCUCAAAAAAAUAAAAUAAAAUAAAAAUAAAAAUAAAAAUAAAAAUAAAAAAGUUAGCCAGGUGUGGUGGCAUUUGCCUGUGGUCCCAGCUACUCGGGAGGCUGAGGUAGGAGGACUGCUUGAGCCUGGAGGUCAAGGCUCCAGUGAGCCAUGAUUGUGCCACUGCAUUCCAGCCUGGGUGAUAGAGUGUGACCCUGUCUCACACACAUAGAAAAGGAAGCAAUAAUUUGCAAAAACAGAGUCUGUUUUGGAUUCUUCCAUAGGGUGGCUUUUACCUGUGAACUCAACUGGGGAUCAGUAAACCAACAGGUGACUCUUCUUGGUCAAACCAGAAAGGGUUCACUUAACUUGAAAUUUUACAGAAUCACCAAGAGAAUUAACUGGGGUCCAGGUGGCUAUAGUAAAAAGUAAAAUAAAAUAACACAAACAUAAGGUGCAAACACCUGAGUGUGCAUUUUGGCUCAGGCUUGAGCUAUUCACUUUACUUCCUGAGGACCCGUUUCCUCAUAUUUAAAAGUGGAGUAAAUAUAGCUGCCUUCUUCCCUUGCAGAGUUAUGAUCUCUGAAUGGGACAACACACAGGAAACACAGCCUAGAACUCCUGUCUUCACUUCUUGCCUCCUGUUCACUCUUAAAAUUCCUUCUGCCCCACUCUCCACUAAAACUUCCCUCCUAACACACAAAUCCUACAGGAACUGUGGGUUAUUAUCUCUGCACUCAGAUUAUCUCUGUGACAGUUGACUUCAACAGAUGCACCCUCCCUAACACUGAAAACUCUCCCACUUUAGUCUUUCCCCAAUUGAUAGUUGUCUCAUGUUUCUUUGCUGGUUUGUUGUACUCUACAAUCACUGGUUAUAUUCCCUGGAGUGCCUGUCUGAGCAUAUUCACACAGGACACCCCCUCACACACUCCCAUGAUCAACUAGAGCCUACUUGUUGAUAAUCAUCUAGACCAGGGAUCAAGAAACUAUUGCCCCGGGUCAGAUCCAGCCCACUGUCCAUUUCUGUAAAUAAAGUUUUAUUGGAACACAGCCACAUUCACUCAUUCAUGUACUGUCCAUGGGAACUUCUGCGUAGUAAUAGCAGAAUUCAGAUGCAGAGAGACAACAAAGCCUAAAAUAUUUACUAAAUGAUCCUUUACAGAAAAGUUACACUGAUGCUUCAUUCAGACUUGUGUCCAAAGUCACACUUGUAUUUAUGUCUCCAACGAAUCAUGCCAACGUCUAUACCUCACAGGCCCCUCUGAAACAUCUGACAGUCAACAGUUUACAAACAACCAUUUCAACCUCAUGUCGCGUUCAGUUAAUACAUGAUUCCUACCCUGGAACACAGGGUUCAUUGCAGCAGUGCCUUCUGUGACCACAUAAAUUUGUGACAAAAUAAGUUCAAUCUUCCUCCUACUUUCUAAAUUUUUCCUUAUCUUAACCCACUACCUCUCCGGCCUUUUCUCGAGCUGCCAUCUUUUCACCCUUGGAAUGCAUCACGUAACGAAGGGGAUGCAAUCUGAGAAAUCUGUCAUUGUGCAAACAUCACAGAAUGCACUUACACAAAUCCAGAUGGUAUAACCUACUACACACCUAGGCUAUAUGGUAUAGCCUAUUGCUCCUAGGCUACAAAUGUGUACAACAUGCUACUGUACUGAAUAUGGUAGGCAAUUGUAACACAAUGAUAAGUAUUUGUGUAUCUAAACACAUUUCAACAUAGAAAAUGUAUGGUAAAAAUAUGGUAUAAAAGAUAAAAAUAGUAGUCCCGUAUAGAGCAUUUACCAUAAACAGAGCUUGCAAGACUAGACAUUGCUCUGGGUGAGUCGGUGAGUGAUGAGUGAAUGUGAAGGCCUAGGAUAUUACCGCACCUACUGCAGACUUUAUAAAUACUAUACACUUAGGCUACCCUAAAUUUAUAAAAAAUAAAGUAUUUGCACUACGACAUUACAACAGCUACGAUGUUACCAAGUGAAAGGAAUUUUCCAGCUCCAUUAUAGUUGUAUGGGACCACCAUGGUAGAUAUGGUCUGUUAUUGACCAAAAUGUCAUCAUAUGGUGCACGGCUAUACAAAAAGCCUCUUGUUUCCCUUAUCCUCCUGUCUUACCUUCCUCUCAUUCAUCCUCCUCCUGCUGUCAGUUUUUUUUCUAACAUAAGAACUUCCAACCCUUGCUGGUGUGGAGGUUCAUGCCUAUAAUCCCAGCACUUUGGGAGGCCAAGGUAGGAAGAUCACUACAGCCCAUGAGUUCGAGACCAGUCUGGGCAACAUGGUGAGACCCUGUCUCUACGAAAAGUUUAAAAAAGUAGCCAGGCAUGGUGGUGCUCACCUGUGGUCCCAGCUAAUUGGGAGGCUGAAGUGGAACAAUCGCAUGAGCCCAGGAGGUCAAGGCUGCAGUGAGCUAUGAUCAAAGCACUGCACUCCAGCCUGGGUAACAAAGCAAGACCCUGUCUCAAAACGAAAACAAAAAACUUCCAACCCUUAUUUCUCCUUCAGUGUCCUCGAAGAUAUGACCCCUAACUCUUCAGCUACAUCUAAAAUCAUUUCUUCCUUGCCAUCCAAUACUUUAGCCAGCCAGCGACCUGCAAUAAGAUUUCCAAAACAGAAGACCAGUAUCCACCUUCAAGACAGGGGAAUGGAACCACAUUAAAUAAAUUACAUUUUAGGUACUGUGCUACAGCCCAAGUCAACCACCUUUUCUGGAGUCUCACAUGACCAUCAGAUAGAACUGUUCGCUUGCUCCUUUCUGCCACCAUUGUGCCUUGAUCUCACCUCUCUAUUAGAAACCUUAUCACGGCUGGGCAUGGUGGCUCACGCCUGUAAUCCCAGCACUUUGGGAGCCUGAGGCAGGCAGAUCACUAGGGGUCAAGAGUUCAAGACCAGCCUGACCAACAUGGUGAAACCCCUUCUCUACUAAAAAUAUAAAAAUUAGCCAGGUUUGGUGAUGCGCACCUGUAAUCUCAGCUACUUAGGAGGCUAAGGCAGGAGAAUAGCUUGAAUCUGGGGGGCAGGGAUUGCAGUGAGCUGAGAUCGCACCACUGCACUCCAGCCUGGGCAACAAGAGCCAAACUCCAUGGCAAAAAAAAAAAAAAGAAGAAAGAAAGAAAGAAAGAAAGAAAGAAAGAAAGAAAGAAAGAAAGAAAGAAAGAAAGAAAGAAAGAAAGAAAGGAAGGAAACCUUAUCACAGUGUGUCAUGAUUUUUUGUUACAUUCCAGGCCCUCUACUAGGCUGUAGCUCCCUAAAGGCAAGGGUUGCUUUAAGCAACCUUGAAGCUCUAGCACUUGCCCACUGGGUAGCACACAGUAGGCACUCAGUAAAUGCUUGCUAAGACACUAAAUGCACUGUAAACUAUAAAGUACUAUAUCAGUUGAAAGGAGAUAAACCUAUGCUACCUACUGUUCUGUGUUCAGUUCACUACUCACUUCCUAUCCUCCAGACAUAAACUGAAGAUGGGAAAAGUAAGGAUGUGAUCAAGUCCUUGCAAAUGGCCUUUGCAACUGCUGUCUCAGCAAUGGCCUGGCUCCUACUCCCAGCUGGACACAGGGCCUUUCCAGUAGCACUGACCAGUACAGGAAUGCAGGUGGAAUGGGGGAAGGUAAUUAGGAAGGAAGGUGAUGCUUUAUUUACACAGCAAUUAACAAUGCAUACUGAAGUUUAUUCAGUCAAAUAGGCAUUUACUGAAUGCAGACCAUAUGCUGGGCACUAUGUGGUGUGCAUAGCAAGCUUUUCAUGGUAAAAAAAGAAGGAUGAAAAGAAGAAAUGUAACAUGAAGAGAAAGUUAAAGGGUAAUUUGAUCUUGUUUGUAUAUUGGGAAAAGGUCAUUUUUACAAAAGAGGUAACCAGCUGUUCCUCAUCGCCAAUGAACAAAAAUCAAAAGGAAAUGGGGUUAAGCUGUGCCAUAAGGUACUGCAGUUAGGCAGAAGAAAAAAGUUGCUGACAUCAAAGGGUGUUAAACACUAUUUGUGGUUUAUAAUUUUGUGUUCAGGAGGUCCUUAGUUUCAGAGGAUCUGAGCAGUUCUAUUUGAGGAAAGGAGAUGGAACUGAUGAAUUCUCAAGAUACUUCUUGAGACCAUGAAUGAUUUUUUUGCUUUUUAAUAUGGGCUCAUGUAUAAAAUAGAUUAAGUGAUUCAAUGUUUUCAACUUCUGUAUACCAUCUGCUUUGGAAAAACUAUUAAAAUCCAGUAUGUGAGAGGGCCGACAAAGCAUGAAGAGCAGAAUAAAUUAUAAAUGACUACAAUUAAAAGGCAAAGGUUCCUGGUGGAAAGAAUACAACUUUAGAGUGCUAAUGACAGAGGUUCCCAGUGUCUUUUUGUCAUUUAUGGCCUAUUGGACCUUGCAAAAAAUGUACACAGAGCACACCAUGAAAAACAAAGCACGCAUGCACACACAGGUAUGGGCAUGCCUGCGUAUGUAUAUGCGAACACAAAGUGCCUAUGAGGAAAUAACAGUAGUCCCCUUAGGAGAGUGAUACCAUUAGCGGUUUCUAUUUCCUUCAUUGUUUUCCAAUUCUACAAUAAGCGUCUCUUAUUCUUACAGUGGGCGGUCGGGGGUGGAAAUAUCCCUCUUUGCUCAAAAAAAAUCUGGCUAGGUUUUUUUGACAAUAUAAUUCUUCAUGCCAUUCUUUAUUAUGCUAUGAACUAACUUCUCUGUUAAUCAGAACACCUGCUGUCAGCCAGAUUAUUUCCUUAUUAGUCAUUGAAGACUUCCAUGUCUUCACGACACACAGUUCCCAGCUUCUGUAGUAUUUCAUCAUAAAGGCAUGUAAAAUUGCUGUUUAAUAGCUUCUUAUUCUUAGAUACUACCCAUUCAGUUUUCUUACUUGUGAUAAAAUUACACCACUGAGAUAUGAGAAAAACUGCAGCCAACUAUAAUAAUUCUACAGUUUGGGUGGAAACAAAGGAAGGGUGGGAGUUUUGUACUAUAUUUUCAAUAAAUUUCAAUAACUUCCAAAUGUUUAUGCUUUCCAGGUUUAUUCACACCUGUGGGAUAAAAAAAAAAGCAGUAAUACAGGGUACAGCAAUGGGCUAGUUCUUUUACUGGGAUAAAUUAUAUAUUUUUUUCAUAAUUGUUAUCCCUUUGAGAUCUGGCUGAUUGAUUCAUAAAACACAGAAUCCAUUCUGUUAUCACUUAGUGUGUUAGACCAGCUGGGCUCACAGACAAGCUGAAGUACAUCACACAGGACUCAAUGGAAGUGAAGCACUUCUGGUGAAAUACAAUCCCACAGAAAAAUUACAAAGUCCUUCUUUAAAUGAUUCACUUCAUCGGUUAAUAUUCUUGGCCAUGAAUUACAUAUUAAAAAUAAAUUCAGGAGAUGUUUCAUUUAUUUAUCUGAGGUAUUAUAAUUUAAAUAAUAUAUAGAAUUUCAGAACAACAACAAACCAUAGCUUGGAGCUCACAUGUUCCCUGCCUCGAAUUUCACCAACAGGAAAAGGAGGCCUGCAAUGUGAAUGGUUUGCUCCAGGGACUGUAGCUGGUCAGUGACCUCAUUGCUACGUGGCCACAAGCCCCAUAUUCCGAAUUCUGGCACAGAUUCUUUCCUAACACGCGAGGCUGCUCAUCUAGCAAGGAUAUUGGAGAUAACAGCCCGGAAAGCAUCAUACGUGCCUCCAACUUCCAAACACUGCUUUUUAGGAAAAAGCUGCCUCCUUUUCCUAAACACAGUAGUGAAGUAGGGAAAAGCUCAGCUCUCUGGGCUAGGGAAAGAAAAGCUUGAUUUUUCACUAACACAGGGAAGACAGAGCAGUGGGUGGGAGGCGAACAGCACAAGAGAAUGUGGAGAGGCUGUGAGGGAAAACUCACAAUUCAGGGACGCCGGAGUCCUGAAAAAGAGGACACGCUGCCCACCUAUGGAAGCAGUCUAAUUUCCCAGUUUCCAUUUAUCAUCUUCAGAUCAACCACUUCCAUUUUCAGAGCUUAAGCUUUCGAAGACCUUCAAUAUGAAUGAAAUAAAUGUGGAUGUUCGCAAGACUCUUGCUUAAAAAGAACAAGUGCUGUGCCCUGUGACAAUGGAUUUUCCCAGUUCUAAGUGACCCAUUUGUAGUCGUCACCUCAUGUGCUUCAUUUCUGCGAGUGUUAGUUGGAUUCUGCCAGAAAUCCCUCUGCUUAUUUUUUUAACCAAGAGGGUGUUAUAUUCUACAUUCUGUGAAUUUGAUUACAUCAACAGGCACAUUCCACUUACCAAUGGGGUGAGGCCUAAAUAUCAUAUAUCAGCACUCUAGGAUUUAGUACCCUUACCCAGAAAAAUGAAAAUUUAAGGCUGGACGACAUUUACCCCAAAUAAAAAGCAUUCUUUGGCCAAAAGUGUUUGGGAAGAGAAUUGAAAAAAUAGCAGGCAUGAGAGUUCAAUUGGUCAAUAUUUUAAUUAUUAUGGCUUUAAUCCCUAUCUUUAUUCCUACCUCUCUCUCUUUCUUUCUUUCUUUCUUCUUUUUUUCUCUUUCUUUUUCUUCCUCCCUCUUCCUUCCUUCCUCUCUCUCUCUCUUUCCUUCUUUCUUCUUUCCCUUUCUCUCUCUCCUUCUGGUUCUUUCUUUCUUUCUUUCUUUCUUUUUCUCUCUCUCUCUUUUCUUUUCCCUUUCCCUCUCUCUCUCUUUCUUUUUCUUUUCUUUUCUUUUCUUCCCCUCUCUUUUUUUUUUGCCACCUGGCUGGAGUGUAGUGGGAGGAACAUGGCUCACUAGAGCUUCACCAACCCAGGUUCAAGUGAUCCUCCUGUCUCUGUCUCUCAUGCGGCUGGGGCCACAGGUAUGUGCCACCAACCUGGCGAACUUUUUGAGUUUUUGUAGAGAUAAGUCUCACUUUGUUUCCCAGGCUGGUCUCCAACUCCUGGUCUCAAGUAAUCCUCCUGCCUUGGCCUCCCAAAGUGCUGGGAUUACAGGUGUGAGCCACUCAUGCCUGGCCUAUCCCUUCCUUUAAAAGAGUCAAACAAUAAUAAAAAUCCAAGAACUCCUCAAAUCCCAGCUUACAUAGUAAGCUUUUCCAGAAUAAGCAAACUGGGCAUGGAUUCUACAUUUGGCCUUCUUUAUGGCAAUCACAUUUGGUCUAUUAUACAUGAAAAAUUAUAAAGUAAGAAUAUAGAAUAAAAUAAGCUCAACCACAAGAGAAAUCAGCAAUGGAUACCACUUCUGAGUGUGACAGAUAACAUGACACUUGAAGCUAUAAACUCUAAGCAGAGUUGAACCUACCCUAUGAGCCCUAGUUCACAUAUUUAUUACAUUUUAGACACCAGAGGUAAAAGCAGGACCAGUGUAAUAGAAGGUAGUCCCCACACAUAGCUGAAACUGCCAAGCCAUGAUUCCCUUUUGUUCUUCAAAACAAAAGCCAACUUGAUAGAGUUGAAGACACACCUGUCUUAAAGAGACUUUUGCUUUCUAAUAAUUUUGUUGUUGUUGUUGAGACAGGGUCUCACUCUGUCACUCAGGCGGGACUGCAGUGGCAUGAUCACGGCUCACUUGCAGCCUCAACCUCCUGAGUUCAGGCAAUCCUCCCAACUCAGCCUCCAGAGUAGCUGGAACCACAGGCACAUGGCACCACGCCCAGUUAAUUUUUUGUAUUUUUUGUAGAGAUGGGGUUACACCAUAUUGUUCACACUGGUCUCAAACUCCGGGGUUCAAGCAAUCUGCCCACCUCGGCCUCCAAAGUCCUGGGAUUACAGCCAUGCACGACUGCACCAGGCUGCUUUCUAAUAAAUUAAGUUAGAUGUGAACAAAAACAAGCUGGUGAGGUGCAGUAUACUAUGUUCCCUUCUGGGAGAAUGCACAUUAUCAGAUUAAAGACUCAGACGGAAAGCAAUCACAUUUAACAAUCGUACAAAUUUAUUUGCACAGAGAGCUAUUUUUUCCCCCACAUUACCCUUAGCAUCCUGAACAAUGUUUCUUUAACUAUAGUUUAGGAAGUGCUAGAGUGAUGGGUACCUAGGUCUCCUGCAAAUCUGCUACCUGAUCAACAUUUCAGCUUUUUUUCAGUUUAACAAAGUCAUCUUAAAAAGGAGUGUAAACACAAGUCAAACAAAACAAGCCAACAGGUGUAGGGCAGGACCGACUUCAUGCACACCUCGCCAGGGGAAUAACAACACCAAACCAGGAAAAAGACACGCGUGUCGUGACAGUCCACAUAAAUGACAUCAUGGUUGGACUCAGACUCAAAUCCAGAUCUUAAACCCUCCAAGUGUGACCCAGUGGACAUUCAACCCCUUUAAAGCGCAGUUAAAUGGGAAUAUCAUGUCCUAAAAGGUAUGAAUCAGGGUUAAAUGAGACAACAUACGAGAGUACCUGCCACAGUACCUGGCCUGGCCAUGCCUCAGGCAUUCCAUACCUUUAGUCACUUUCCAUCCUUCCCUAGUUCUCUGCGAGACAGAGGACAGGGAGGCUGAGAUACAGUCACAGAAACCAAAGCCAGGUCAUUGUGAUUGUGUAUUACAAGGUGGUAACUAAGUAUGCUUAGCUUGUAGUCCCAAAAUGAAAAAAUGUGGAAGAGCACAGGGGAACUAACAGAAGAAAUUCAAGGUCAUAGCCAUGUAAAGGCAAUUCAAUAAACUGACUGAAAUCUUGCACAAGAAAGGAGAGAGGGGGAGGGUGGGAAAAACAGUGGAGGAGAAAGGAGAGAAGGAGAAAGGGAGAGAGAGGCGGAGAGAGACACUACUCCAAGGUUAGCUCUGAGUUUUUAAGAAUGCAAGAGGAAAAUCUCCAUUUAAUAGGACCUGGAAAGAAGUUACGUUUGCAAUCUGGAAAACAGGGUUUUCAGAGUUAAUGUUACUUAACAGUCACUUUCCAAGGAGCAUGCAUAUGAGAACUAAAAGCACAGCAGUUUCAGGCACACACUUCUGUAUGCAGAUGCAUUUGCUAAUUACAAAUUUUCCCGUCACUCAGGAUGCAAUGAAGAUGUCUAAUCAAAAGUCCAUAGCGGUGAAACAGAAUGAGGUAGGGGAUACAGGCGAAUUCUGUUCACAGAUAGCCCUGUGACCUGGGACACAGUGCUCCCCACUUCUCAAAACCUGGGGUGUUUCACUUGCACGGUUUUUAGAAGCCAUCUCAAAUGUCUCCUAACAAUAGCGCGCUGCAAUCCUGGCUACCUAAAAAGUCCAUUUUUUCUCUAAGACAGAGACAUUUUAUCUGCCCCUCACAUGGAUCAAAUAUCCCCAGUAAUAUUGAAAAGUAAUAUGACCUUUAUUCACAGCAUCAACUCAAGAUGUGGAUGGAGCUUGGUGUAGCUAAAACAGCAGACAUGACAUUGCAGCUGCUGUUACCCCCACUCUCUAAGCAGGUAAUAUUAUUAGCCAGGUAUUGUGCUGAGAACCUUACUUUUGUAUGGACUUCUCCAUGAGGUAUCCUCACUUCACCCAUGAGAAAACUCCUGAUUCCAGCCAAUUCCUUCAUCAAGGACUGCAGCUGGUAAGUGGCGGAGGCAGGAUUCCAAGCCAGGCAGGUUUCACUUCAAGAUCUGUUCCCUUUGUCACUAUAGCUGCUGUUCAUUCACAACAGGAAUUUAGAUACUGUUACAUUUAUUCCAAGUUUUUGCAUUUUAUAAAGACUAUAAAAACCAGUUUUUGCUUUAACAAAAUCUGACACAGUAUAGGUGGUUCCUUGACAGAUGAGCCACGUGCAAGCUGAGGGCAGAAAGGGAACUUGUGGGUGAACUGAUCCUCAAUGCCCCCUUGAGCUUGGGAUCUGAGAAGCAUGGGGGCAUUCGCAUAGGUGAGUAGGGUCACAUGACUACCUGGUGAGCCACAGUGCCAGGACCAGAGCACAGGGCUUGGACUCCAGAGUUAGGGUUCUGGCCAGUUUAAGAUUUUCAUCCGGGGUCGUUUUCCAUAUGUAGAUUUCGCAGAGUUAAUGUUCUGUUCAUAACUAGGGCAAAUCGGUAGGAAAUUACAAAGGGGAGUAUAUUCCCAGUGCCUUGUCAUACUUGAGGAAAUGAAAGGAUUUAAACAUAUCUGGCUUGAAAAAAUAUUUUCUCUACAAAGUUAAUCUACAAUUACAUUUAAUGUGAAAUAUUAUAUAGAAAAACAUCCCAUGUGUUUUUGUUGCUAGAGGACAUUUUAUAGUUUAUGUUUUAUUACUGGUCCCUGGUGUGUUUCUGAAAAACUCCCUCUGGGGAAGUUUAUUCCGGAUAACGGCUGACUUUAGCCAUGAGCAUUUCCAAUCAUCUCACACGCAGAGUCUCCAGGGCAUGUGAGAGUGUAUCAUGUUGUCCAAAGGCCUGCGAUAUUUGCUUUUCAAUAAUGCAAAUACAGCUCUGGCAUGGGGCGGCUCCCUUGGCGUUGACAAAAGAGAACACAAACAGUAACGUUGCCAAAAUCACUUUCCUGGUUGGCCACAGCAUUUUGUAGUACCUAAUGUUUUGUGAAACCAAACACCCCCAAAAAACUCUCUGAACUUCUUUCUGUAAUGUUCCAAUAUAUUCAAAAAUAUUUCCAAGACUACCAAAGUUUGUCACAUAAAGGUUAAGCUUGAUUAUUUAUUGUUUCAUGGUUUCUCCAUCACACCAUAGUUAGGUUAAUUUACAUAUAAAUGCUAUUUUUUGAGAUCUGAGAGAAAAACACACCCUGAGAUGUGCCAGGUUUGCUCUGCGGCUCGCUUACCCCAGCUCUACAUCACGUGCAUGAGUGUACCCCUGAUGGAGAAGGACGGGGAUAUGAUAUUGAAGACACCAGGUACUACACAGAAAAUCAAGACAACGAAAAAUGAGGCUGAAAUGUACACACGUAUGUAUCUGCCCACUGCACCUCCUUCUCCUUGAGGUGGUUCUCUUUUCCCCAUGGAGCCUUUCUCCCAGAAUUCCUGCCCUAUUGCAGGGUAUUUUUCCUCCAGACCCUCAAAAAUCUAGCACUCUUCCUAUGAAAAGGACUCCCUGGAAUUGAUCAUUCCUAUAUCCUUUCAAGGCAACUGUAGUAGGCUGAAUAACAGCCCCCACAGAUGUUCACACCCUAAUCCCUGAAACCUAUAAACGUUACUUUAGGUGGCAAAAAGGAAAUGUGAAGGUAUAGUAAAGGAUCUUGAAGUGGGGAGAUGAUCUGAGAUUGGGUGGGCACUAAAUGGAAUUCCAAGUGUCCACAGAGAGAGAGAUUUCACUACAGCAUUGGAGAAAGCAAUGUGACAACAGAAGCAGAGAAUGAAGAGAUACAUUUUGAAAAUGAGACUCGAAGGGGCCACAAACCAAGGAAUUUAUCAUUUUUAAAAAGCCAUCAGAAUCCAGCAUCUGCUAGGAGCUGAAAAAGCAAGGACACAUUCUCCCCGGAGCCCACAGAACCUAAGAGAAUAACUUACUGUUGUUUUAAGCCACUACAUUUGUGGUAAUCUGUUGCAGUGGCCACAGGAAAUGAACAUGCCCACCGUCCAGGUGCCCUUCGCCUGCCAUUCUCUUCACACUUUCACGCCUUUAGUUGCAGGGACACCUGACAUGUUUAGUUACAUUUACAUGUAGUUAUAGCCACAUUUUACUACCUACUCAACAAGGGUACCCUAGUUCAGGUACUUGUACAAAACAUUACAACCUGCUUUACACAAAUUAAAAAAUUAUCCUCUUUACAAAAUAAUUCUCUUUAAAGAAUUUCUUGGCCGGGCGCGGUGGCUCACGCUGGUAAUCCCAGCACUUU